rnacentral:lncRNA from 1 species
CUGAUCCCGAGCUGCGAGGUGGAGGUUCUGCCAGACAAGUCCCCAGGCCGUGGCAGCCCCAACUGACUGAUGCCAUCCUUGGUUUUCCCCAACACUCGACUCAUCCAUGACAUCAGCUCGGGACUGAGAUGAACCAUGUGACUCACGCUAUGGUGGCUUCAGGAAAUUCUGCUUCCAGCCGACCACAUUUAUGGAGACACUAACAGCAGGGAGGGAAGAGACGCUGCGUGGGUCUUCUUCCGACCCAUUACUCUGCCCAAGCGCCAUGAGGCCCCCACAGGUGAGGAGGAGCAGCUGCUGCUCGAUCAUAUUCCAGCUUCUUCCCACUCUGCGUGUUCAUCUCCAGUUGCUCUCGGGAACAUGCACUGAACACCCACAAAAGGAAAUCAGUUUCCGGUCCAGCUUCUCCCCUUAGCAAGAGAGCUGCACCUCGAGCAGGUUCGCAGUGCAGCUGGCAUCUUCAUGUCCCCGCUCCGACGUCAGCUCCUGUUGAGCCGGGGUCCCCCGUAUGCCACGUGCUGCACGGGACGUCAGGGGAGAGGACGACAGCCGCUCGGACCAGUGUGGAGAGCAGACUUGAGGGCUGCGCGGCACACAACUGGGCUCUGCCCCUGAUUCAGCUCCUUCCCAGCCUCUCGCUGAGCACAUAAACUGAUUCACUGAUAUUUCCAAGUGAAGUGUUUUCCUCCAAAGAGAAAAGAGAGUCAGCAAGGCAAGAAAAGAGUGGGAAAACAAUCACACCCUGAGAUGGAGACCAGCUGGUAGUAAGACCUACAUCACAAGGAAAGGCAAGACCCAGCAAAGUGCAAUGACACUAAGCUCUUCCUCUGCACGUGACGGCUGAGACCAGGCCCUGCCCAGCAGGUGGGUACCAUAAAAGCUGGGCACCUCCGCGUGCCAUCAGCCUGAGAUUUCUGAAACCUGUGUGCUGUCCUAUGCCAACGGUCUCUGAGUCUUCCGUCAGUGAGCACAAGAGCCCACACUGUGGCAGCACGACAGGCCUUGCACACCCCUCCAUCUGAUGGAGACGGUUACUGUGGGCCAUGUGUAGGCUGACUCCGGGCAGCCCAUUGAAGACCUCACGGACAGAAUGGUGCACAUGGAGGAAAUGGUCACUGAUGUAAAUCUGAGCCUACUCCCUUGUGAAUAGGUGUCUUUCAUGCUGCAAGGGGAGGCACGAAUACUUGGUGUGUAGCUGAAGUUGCUGAUGUGACAGACACUAUCC